rnacentral:rRNA from 1 species
GACGAACGCUGGCGGCGUGCUUAACACAUGCAAGUCGAACGGAAAGGCCCUGCUUUUGUGGGGUGCUCGAGUGGCGAACGGGUGAGUAACACGUGAGUAACCUGCCCUUGACUUUGGGAUAACUUCAGGAAACUGGGGCUAAUACCGGAUAGGAGCUCCUGCUGCAUGGUGGGGGUUGGAAAGUUUCGGCGGUUGGGGAUGGACUCGCGGCUUAUCAGCUUGUUGGUGGGGUAGUGGCUUACCAAGGCUUUGACGGGUAGCCGGCCUGAGAGGGUGACCGGCCAAAUGGGGAAGGGGAUACGGCCAAGACGCGUACGGGGGGGAGGAGGGGGGAAUUUGGCACAAGGGGCGGAAGCAUGAUGCAGAAACGCCGGGGGGGGGAUGACGGCCUUCGGGUGGUAAACCGCUUUCGCCGGGGAAGAAGGGUGAGUGGCGGUAAGGGGGAAAGAAGCACCGGCAAACUACGU